rnacentral:snRNA from 2 species
GAAAGUGAAGGUGAUCCGGCUGGGCCCUGAUCAGCAGCAUUGAUUCAGGGUUGAUUCAGUUGAUCUGACUGAGCAGGUGAGUUCCCCUUUCUUCCCUCAUUCCUCUUGAGGCCUUCAUACUUGGGCAAAGAAAGUGACUUUCCUGGGUAGAUGAAGAUUGUUCUUAAGGUAAGAAU